rnacentral:lncRNA from 1 species
GUCACACGUGGUUCCGUGGGGUCACACGUGGUUCUAUGGGGUCACACGUGGCUCUGUGGUGUCACACGUGGUUCCGUGGGGUCACACGUGGUUCUAUGGGGUCACACGUGGCCCUAUGGGGUCGUGCACAGCCCCGCUCCAGUCGUGCCUUGAUGCAGUCGUGCAGAGCGCUGUGGGGUUCUGUACGGCCCUAUGGGGUUCUGUAUGGCCCUAUGGGGCUGACCCCCACCCCCACCCCCCCAUGUCACACAGAACAGCGCUAUUUAUUGACACCACAAACGAGUUGUGUUAUGGGGCCGGCGGGGGUUUUAUGGGGUGGGGGGAUUUUAUGGGGCGGGGGGUUCUGUGGGGUAGUGCCCCAUAAUGACCCAUGAUGACCCCAUAGUGCCCCAUAUCACCCCAUAACGACCCCAUAUCACCCCAUAACAACCCCAUAGCGCCCCAUAGUGCCCCAUAACGACCCCAUAUCACCCCAUAACAACCCCAUAGUGCCCCAUAGUGCCCCAUAAUGACCCAUGAUGACCCCAUAGUGCCCCAUAUCACCCCAUAACGACCCCAUAUCACCCCAUAACAACCCCAUAGCGCCCCAUAGUGCCCCAUAACGACCCCAUAAUGAUCCAAUAGUGCCCUGCAGUGACCUCAUAGCGCCCCAUAAUGACCUCAUACCGCCCCACAAUGACCCCAUAGCGCCCCAUAACGACCCCAUAGCACCCCACAAUGACCCCAUAUCACCCCAUCGCACACCAUAGCACCCCAUAAUGACCCCAUAGUGACCCAUAAUGACCCCAUAGUGACCCCACAAUUGGGGGCAUUGGGGCCCCAUAGCAUCCCAUAGCACCCCAUAAUGACCCCAUACCGCCCCACAAUGACCCCAUAGCGACCCCAUAGCACCCCAUAAUGGCCCCAUAGCGCCCCAUAAUGACCCAUAGUGCCCCAUAGCGCCCCAUAGUGACCCCAUAGCACCCCAUAAUGCCCAUACCACCCCAUAGCGCCCCAUAAGACCCCAUAGCCUCGUUUUCGGAGCUGCUUGGCCACGCCCAUUUCUCUUUGCCCCGCCCCCGACCAAAAGCCACGCCCCUUCCUCAGACCACGCCCCUCCCCGUUCGGCGGCGCGC